rnacentral:rRNA from 1 species
AUUGAACGCUGGCGGCAGGCCUAACACAUGCAAGUCGAACGAGUGGCGGACGGGUGAGUAACACGUGGGAACCUACCCAUCAGAGGGGGAUAACACUUGGAAACAGGUGCUAAUACCGCAUACCAUCGGAUGUGCCCAGAUGGGAUUAGCUAGUAGGUGGGGUAACGGCUCACCUAGGCGACGAUCCCUACCUGGUCUGAGAGGAUGACCAGCCCCACUGGAACUGAGCCACGGUCCAGACUCCUACGGGAGGCAGCAGUGGGGAAUAUUGCACAAUGGGCGCAAGCCUGAUGCAGCCAUGCCGCGUGUAUGAAGAAGGCCUUCGGGUUGUAAAGUACUUUCAGCGAGGAGGCGUUACUCGCAGAAGAAGCACCGGCUAACUCCGUGCCAGCAGCCGCGGUAAUAC